UUGGGUUCACAAUAUAGUUAGGCAAAAAAUGGUGCUGAUUAAUAAAUGGGCAUUGUUUUAAAAAGUGGAUCCGAAAGUGAAUUGUUCCCCUCGCUAUCCAGUGUAGAAAUUUCUUUGCUACAUUUGGACGUUGGGAAACUAUAUUU
rfam:Beta vulgaris subsp. vulgaris chromosome 7, whole genome shotgun sequence.